ensembl:snRNA U6 U6 spliceosomal RNA
GUGCUCGCUUCAGCAGCAUAUAUACUAAAAUUGGAAUGAUACAGAGAUUAGCAAGGCCCCUGCGCAAGGAUGACGUGCAAAUUCGUGAAGAGUUCCAUAUUUAA